CGUAGGAGUGAGCCUGCUCGCGAUAGCGGUCUGUCAGUUAACAAUAUGCUGACUGAUACACCGCUAUCGCGAGCAGGCUCACUCCUACA
rnacentral:misc_RNA from 1 species